UACGGAGGAGGCAAGCGUUAUCCGGAAUUAUUGGGCGUAAAGCGUCCGCAGGUGGCACUUCAAGUCUGUCGUCAAAGACUGGGGCUUAACCCUGGAAAGGCGGUGGAAACUGAAGCGCUAGAGUGCGGUAGGGGUAGAGGGAAUUCCCGGUGUAGUGGUGGAAUGCGUAGAGAUCGGGAGGAAUACCAGUGGCGAAAGCGGCACCCUGGCGUCGUACUGACGCACAUGUGCGAAAGCGUGGGGAGCGAACGGG
rnacentral:rRNA from 1 species